rnacentral:rRNA from 1 species
UACGGGGGGGAGCAAGCGUUGUUCGGAUUUACUGGGCGUAAAGGGCGCGUAGGCGGCCACCGCAAGUCGACUGUGAAAUCUCCGGGCUUAACCCGGAAAGGUCAGCCGAUACUGCGGGGCUAGAGUGCAGAAGGGGCAACUGGAAUUCUCGGUGUAGCGGUGAAAUGCGUAGAUAUCGAGAGGAAACACCUGCGGCGAAGG